rnacentral:rRNA from 1 species
AUUGAACGCUGGCGGCAGGCCUAACACAUGCAAGUCGAACGAGUGGCGGACGGGUGAGCAAUGUAUCGGACACUGCCUGAUGGAGGGGGAUAACUACUGGAAACGGUUGCUAAUAACGCAUACCAUCAGAUGUGCCCAGGUGGGAGUAGCUUGUUGGUGGGGUAACGGCUCUCCAAGGCGACGAUCCCUAACUGGUCUGAGAGGAUGAACAGUCACACUGGAACUGAGACACGGUCCAGACUCCUACGGGAGGCAGCAGUGGGGAAUAUUGGACAAUGGGCGAAGGCCUGAUGCAGCCAUGCCGCGUGUAUGAAGAAGGCCUGCGGAUUGUAAAGUACUUUCAGUGGGGAGGCGUUACCCACAGAAGAAGCACCGGCUAACUCCGUGCCAGCAGCCGCGGUAAUUC